UACAGAGGUCUCAAGCGUUGUUCGGAUUCAUUGGGCGUAAAGGGUGCGUAGGUGGCGCCGUAAGUCGGGUGUGAAAUUUCGGAGCUUAACUCCGAAACUGCAUUCGAUACUGCGGUGCUUGAGGACUGGAGAGGAGACUGGGAUUCAUGGUGUAGCAGUGAAAUGCGUAGAGAUCAUGAGGAAGACCAGUGGCGAAGGCGGGUCUCUGGACAGUUCCUGACACUGAGGCACGAAGGCCAGGGGAGCAAACGGG
rnacentral:rRNA from 1 species